GGGUAACCUACCCUAUGCAGGGGGAUAAGCUCGGGAAACUGAGAAUAAUACCCCAUAGUCCACUACGCCUGGAACGGUGAGUGGAUCAAAGCUCCGGCGGCAUAGGAUGGGCCUGCGGCGUAUCAGGUUGUAGGGGGUGUAAUGUACCCUCUAGCCAUCUACGCGUACGGGUGUUGGGAGACAUUGCCCGGAGAUGGAUUCUGAGACACGAAUCCAGACCCUACGGGGUGCAGCAGGCGCGAAAACUUGGCAAUGCGAGAAAUCGUGACCAGGGAACUCCAAGUGGGAGGGGUAAGACCCUGUCUUUUUCCGACUCUAAAUAGGUCGGCGAAUAAGGGGUGGGUAAGGACGGUGCCAGCCGCCGCGGUAAUACCGGCGCCUCAAGUGGUAGUCGCUUUUAUUGGGCCUAAAACGUCCGUAGCCGGUCUGGUACAUUCGUGGGUAAAUCAACUCGCUCAACGAGUUGAAUUCUGCGAGGACGGCCAGACUUGGGACCGGGAGAGGUGUGGGGUACUCUCAGGGUAGGGGUAAAAUCCUGUCAUCCUGAGAGGACCACCUGUUGCGAAGGCUCCACACUAGAACGGAUCCGACGGUCAGGGACGAAGCCUAGGGGCACGAACCGGAUUAGAUACCCGGGUAGUCCUAGGUGUAAACGCUGUGGACUUGAUGUUGGGGACGCUCCGAGCGUUCUCAGUGUCGAAGCGAAGGUGAUAAGUCCACUGCCUGGGGAGUACGGUCGCAAGGCUGAAACUU
rnacentral:rRNA from 1 species